rnacentral:rRNA from 1 species
UACGUAGGGUGCAAGCGUUGUCCGGAAUCAUUGGGCGUAAAGAGCGUGUAGGCGGCCCGGUAAGUCCGCUGUGAAAGUCCAGGGCUCAACCCUGGAAUGCCGGUGGAAACUGUCGGGCUAGAGUCCGGAAGAGGCGAGUGGAAUUCCUGGUGUAGCGGUGAAAUGCGCAGAUAUCAGGAAGAACACCGGUGGCGAAGGCGGGUCUCUGGGCCGUAACUGACGCUGAGGAGCGAAAGCGUGGGGAGCAAACAGG